rnacentral:lncRNA from 1 species
GAUGGAAGGCGAGACGGUUGUAUCUACGGAGGCACCCGGUCCGUGCGUUAUAGUCUGAUUUCUUGCUGGUGUUGUAGAGCGUCAAGUACAAUGGGAAGCAUCCGAUCGGGAGAAUUCCAGGCACCAACAGGUCAGUGGCUCCAAGGUCGACCAAUUUCUGAAAGGAAAGAAAAAUGAACAUAGGCUUAUUAAAAUGGCUUAUCUGUGUGCCCCCUAAACUUCAGCCCCUAUUUAGUUUUGCAUUCACACUGACUAGUGGGUCCCAUACGUCAGUGGCUCAUUGCCUUUUCUUUUUUUUCUCCUAUCAUCUUCUUCUUCCACCAUGGAGCAGGCGUACGACGAAGGGGAGGCCAAGGGAGAGACGCACGGGCGGCCGGCGGGGAGGCGCAGGGACAGCGGACGGCGAGGCGCGAAGGCGGCCGGCGUUGAGGCGCCGGGGCGGGAGACAGAGGUGGCCGGUGAGGCAUUGGGGCGGCCGGCGGGGAGGCGCAGCGACGGCGGACGAUGAGGCGCGGAGGCGGCCGACGGUGAGGCGCCGGGGCGGCCGAGGGAGAGGCGGCCGGCGAAGUAGAACGGCCGGCGGUGAGGCGUCGGGGCGGCCGAGGGAGAGGCGGCCGGUGAAGUAGAACGGCCGGCGGUGAGGCGUCGGGGCGGCCGAGGGAGAGGCGGCCGGUGAAGUAGAACGGCCGGCGGUGAGGCGUCGGGGCGGCCGAGGGAGAGGCGGCCGGUGAAGUAGAACGGCCGGCGGUGAGGCGCCGGGGCGGCCGAGGGAGAGGCGCCGGCGAAGUAGAACGGCCGGCGGUGAGGCGUCGGGGCGGCCGAGGGAGAGGCGGCCGGUGAAGUAGAAUGGCCGGCGGUGAGGCGCCGGGGCGGCCGAGGGAGAGGCGCCGGCCGGUGAAGUAGAACGCCCGCAUUAGGAAGAGAGCAGUGGGGGGAGAAGAAGAUAUCGUGGCGUGCGAGAAGGGAGAAUAUGGGCUUCCUUGGGGGUCGCUGGGAACGGGGGCUAGAGGGGGAAAUCUAGGGAGCUCCCUAGAAUAGGACCCGAGUAGGUAACGUGCUGAAGAACAUUUUUUUUUUCUAACCCCUAAAAACCGGACUCUGUUUUGGAGCCAUGCAAGAUGAUUUAAAGGUCCGCUAAACAUGACCCAUAUUAGAGGUGGUUCGGUGUCCCGCAAGAUGAUCUAAAGGUCCGCUAAACAUGACCCAUAUUAGAGGUGGUUCGGUCUCCAAUGAAGGCUGUCAUUGGUAACUCACCUUACAUGUAACGAAACAGCUUUUAGAGCUUAAAAAAACUCAUAUAAAUGAGAAAUAAAAAAUUCAUUCAAAAAAUCUUUGGUUUUGAAAUUAAAUGAACACUAAUUAGAAUUUAAAUUUGAGUUUUACUUUCUCUGUUCGUUUUAUUUGGAUUCUGCAUAUUCAGUUUUCCUGAAUUUUUCAGAGUUUAUUCGUGUCUAAUAGAAAAGACUUUUUCUUUUCUCAUUUUUUUGAGAAUCUUUUCUUUUCUCCUUUUUUUAGAGGUCUUUUCUUUUCUCUUUUUUUGAGAAUCUUUUCUUUUCUCCUAAGCUGCUUGUGCCAAAACCCAGCCCACCUGCUCUUUCUCCUCUAUUCCGACUGGGCCUUCUGCCGGCCAUUUGUCGUCUACCUAACCCAGCCCACCUUCUCUCUUAUUUUCUUCUUACUGGGGCGUUAUCUUUCACCGGCCCAACUCGUUGGCAAGCUGACUGAGCCAGCUCACCGAUGCGUCUCUCUGUCUCUAGCUUUCAUCUUCUUCGCGUUCUGUCCCCAUCACGAACACCUGCCGUCGCCGCCGCUUCUGCUCCUAUGGGUGCGUGGAACGCCAGCGGCACCCCGAAGUUCGUGCUGUGCAACGUCAGUCAAAUCCGAGUCCUCCCCCGCCUUAUGCGUCCCUGCAUAUGCCUCCUUUUCCCGCAGCUAAGCCGCCAUCCCUCUCGUACCCUAACACCAUCGGUCACCGUUGAUGGUGCGUCAGCGUGAAUCGAGCUGCCUCAGCGGGUCAGCCCGAUAUAUUGCACCUGAAACACCGACUCACCUCCGGGAUUCCGUUUCCGGUUGCUCAAUCCAUAGAGAACAAUCCCCAAUUUCGAGGUCCAAUUUGACUUUAUCCGAGUUGCAAAAUUACAUUGCAGUAGGACAAUAUUCAAUUCCUUGGGCGGUCAUCCCCACCCUAGCUCAAGUUCCGGUGAGAUCCGCUCCUGUGACAGUGUGUCACUUGUCGAAGAUGGAUUCUUGAUCCGAUCACCGUAGCUCCAGCACCAUCAAUGCCAUCUCUGAUCAGCAAUACAGCAGUUCUCAACGAUCUGAGCCCUAUUACACUAUAGAAAACUGUUUGUUUGACCUUAGGAAUCUUCUGGUGGAAUUGGAUUCCAAAUCCAAAGGGUAGGACUUAAAGUAGAUUUAUACCGAUUCAAAUUCAAGUCAAAGUGAAAUAUUAUUUGAACUAUGUUAAUAUUUUUGUGUAUGUCUUGGUUCUCCUAGUCCAUAUAGGAGUUGUAUGUGAAGUUUGUAGUAUUCUGUGGCAUGUUUAACCAUUUGUUAAAUUUAUAAAGUAGCACAAGUUGCUCGUUUGCACUUUAUAAUCAUUGCUUAUUACUCCAAAUUUGAACUAGCAUGGGAAUACAGGAGGUGCAGUUCAUGAGGCGCAAAUGCACAAUUUUGAUCCUUUUAUUUUCAUAAAUUUAUUUGUUAUUACACAAAUUUUGACAAAGGAAUAAGAAUGAGGAACAUGUCAUACAUGGUACAUUUGUACUACAGCUUUUCAGUUUGGGAAACAUAUCUAUACCGGCACAGUUUAUACAUUCUCUCAAGGAACAGACUAAGUAAUUUUACUCAUAACUUAAUUUCCUGGGUGCCUGAAGCACUCACUCCUCUCAUAUCCACCCCUCUAGUGACAGCAGCAACGUUACAUACACAUCUAACCAUCUCAAUUAUCACUUCAGGAUUGGGGGAGAAGCAUAGGGGCCAUUGAGCCAACCGUUUGCGACCAUGCGGUAAGCAGCUUCGGUCAUGUGGAUGCCAUCCCAGCUUACAUACGACGAUGGAUUAGAGCAUACGCUUGCGCCUGCCUCGCCGCACUUCUUCUUUAAGUUAAAGUUGUAGCUGCCCUGCCCUCCAGCGCCGCAGCAUGCUUGUAAAGCUGUGCUGAAACCUGCAAUGCCAUCAGAUUCAGUUAGACCAUGUAACUUGCUUCCCAGUGCAAACCAUGUCACCGUGUCUUAUGGGUAAUCUUGUGAUGAAUAUGCUGUUUACACCUCCGAAUCCACCAUAAAUUAUGUACUCGGAAUGUUUUACAGGUUAUCGAGCAAGAAAUUGCUUACCGAAUUUUCCAGGGCUCACAACAAACUGCAUUGCCGCUUUGAAGUAAUCACCAUACAUGAUUUUUGUCUUUGGGUACUUCUUCUGAAGCUCAUCCAGCUGCUGCUUGAGCUCCCUGUUGUGAUGGAAGGCGAGACGGUUGUAUCUACGGAGGCACCCGGUCCGUGCGUUAUAGUCUGAUUUCUUGCUGGUGUUGUAGAGCGUCAAGUACAAUGGGAAGCAUCCGAUCGGGAGAAUUCCAGGCACCAACAGGUCAGUGGCUCCAAGGUCGACCAAUUUCUGAAAGGAAAGAAAAAUGAACAUAGGCUUAUUAAAAUGGCUUAUCUGUGUAUGUGCGUUUCGGUUUGCUCUCACUGACUCACGAAAUGUGCAAAACUAGUUCCAAUCCUAGACGAACAUAUUCCAAAAAGAUCCCCGCACGACAGUUUGAAAUCAGCAUAUUACACUGACAAGCUAGUUUAGCAGCACACUACAAAUAAAAUAAUGGCGAUGCAGUACUAAUAUUAAUAUAGUUAUAGAAAGAUCUGUUCUCUAUCCUUGAAUUGUGUGGAAACAAUCUAAUUUUAGAGCCAUGUCACGUGACAGCCAUUUCAUGAUGGCCAUGCACAUAACAAAUGAUUGCUCAGCUUCUUUACCAAACAAACCAUUUCCAUGCCCAUUCUCUUCAUUGUGCAAUCAUGUUGUACAUGAAUUCCCCAUCAAGACAUCACAUAGGGGCUACACUAAGCAACAAUCUUAUAUACUGUGAACCAACUCGAUUUGGUGACGAAGUACAAAACCCAUGUUUGGUUUGAUUUAUACAGGUAAAAAAAAAUCCCCUUUCAAACUAGUGUAACAAUAGAAGUUUCAUGUUAACUGUUUAGUCAUAAGAUUUUCCUAUUUUUAAAGAAGGAUAUCAAAACUGGCACAUGUUAAUGUCCACAAAUAUUGGUAAGCUCACAAUUAGAUAACAACACAUCGAGAUGCCUAGAUGGCUAGAUCCAAUCCAACAAAAGGUGCUCUCGCCCUAUCCCUCACCUAACAUGCCGGCCAUCCCCACACGACUAAGCUCUCAGGAACUUAUGACUCCCUUGCUAAGCACUUACCUACUACCUAGACUAUUCAGUGUUCUCACUGAAUUCUGAAUACUCCCAUGUAAAACUGAACUCCAGAUAAUUUCAAAGCAAACACCAAUUUUCUGCCUCUCAUGUGUUUGUCAUGCAUUCCACCUAGCCGACAAAUAUCUAGACAUGAGAGGUGAGUGCUGCCAGAAAUCUGCACCCGUCACACAUUUGCGUAACGAUAGUUGCAUGAUUCCCUGGAUCUCCACACACCAGGUACAUAGCCCACCGUGCUGAUUUACUACUUUAGUCAAGUGUGUGCAUUAUUGUGUGGUCUAUACUGUAUGAUGCAAUGCGCAAGGAUCAUCCUAUGUUCCUACUUUAAGAGUGAUGUACUUACAAAUCACCCUCCAGGGAUUUUAUACCUCGACACCGUUGGCGAUGGCUUUGGCGACCAGCGGCACAUAGGUCUUCACCUCGGAGAACGCGACGCCGGAGAACAAUGGAGCAUUAUAGUCGUUGCCCCCAAACUCCCCCACCACAAAUAGGGACUUGCUGAAGUAGUCCUGGCACUCUGCAGUUAACGCAACCAAAGAAAUUCUGAAUCUAUGAUGUACUAACAGAACAUGGUACGACCGUAUUUCAAGAAGGGAAAAGAAAAAUGGAUGCCGAACGGUACCUUUCUCCGAUUUACAGAGGGAUGGCUUCAUCUUCUGGAGCCAGCCAAUUUGGGUGUUGAUGGAGCCGGUGUUCCAAAUGCGCUGGUCGAUGCCAUGGGCCUUGAAGAAGUCGUAUUCCAGCGCCGUAGCGCCGGUGAUGGCGAAGUUGGCCCCCUUCUUGAAGUCUGUGCCAUGCGCCUGCGACGCUGGCGGCAGGGGCAGCCCGAAAUGCUCAGCUGCAAAAUUGACCAAAGUUUCCCAUCGUUAAAAACGAAACUUUUUACACAUCAUAUCAUACUACGGCGUGCUGUAUUGGCUAUCGCUCUGAACAAAAGACACAUCAGGAUUCACAAUCUAGCAAUUCUGACCAAGCGAGACAUGUCCAGUCCGCAGUCGACUGAAAUAUGUUGCAACAGUAACCAUCACAAGUUUCUUUCAGUAACAUUUCUGCUGUGCUUUACCUUUCCAAAAAGGAAAAAUAAAAGGACCCCUUUAAUUCACAUCAAUACUGCACUUUGGUAUAGCAGAAUGGAGGCAGCACUAGUUCACUGUUCCAAAGCAGCAACUGUUUUUUACCACUCGAAUUUAUCUUCUUUUCAGAAAGGAGAAAAGGCUGGGCCUUUUUUUAACACAAGAUUAGCUUUGCAUCACUAACAGUUAAUUAAAACAGUAAGGCAAAAAAGGCAGAUUGCAUACUAGCUGCUGGAGCAGUAGUUCUCCGUAUUAAACAAGAGUCAAAUUUAUCAUGACCAAGGUCAGAGCAUAGUCUAACACUCCAAAUCAACGGCUUAAAAAAACAGAGACAUUUCUGUUGGAUAUUGCAGAGUCCAGCAUAUAUAAUACACAGUUGACGGAACCAAGAGAAGAAAAAGGACGGCGAAGUUGGCCGCACUGGGAAGCCAGGGGCGC